UUAGACCCAUUCUCUAGAUC
rnacentral:snRNA from 1 species